UGCAAUCCGGGGAGACAGACAUCGGGUGCUAACGUCCGGUGUUCAAGAGGGAAAACAACNCAGAACCGCCAGCUAUAGGGUCCCCAAAUAUUGCUAAGUUGGGAAACGAAGUGGGAAGGCUAAAACAGUCAGGAGGUUGGCUUAGAAGCAGCCAUCCUUUAAAGAAAGCGUAAUAGCUCACUGAUCGAGUCGUCCUGCGCGGAAGAUGUAACGGGGCUAAGCAAUAUACCGAAGCUGCGGAUGCACAUUUAUGUGCAUGGUAGGAGAGCGUUCCGUAAGCCUGCGAAGGUGCAUUGAAAAAGUGUGCUGGAGGUAUCGGAAGUGCGAAAUGCUGACAUGAGUAGCGAUAAAGGGGGUGAAAAGGCCCCCUCGGCCGUAAGCCCAAGGUUUCCUACGCAA
rnacentral:rRNA from 1 species